rnacentral:rRNA from 1 species
UACGGAGGGUGCAAGCGUUGUCCGGAUUUAUUGGGUUUAAAGGGUGCGUAGGUGGUUUUCUAAGUCUGGUUUGAAAGCAAGCGGCUUAACCGUUUGAUGUGGCUGGAAACUGGAGGACUUGAAUGGGUUGGCGGUAGCCGGAAUGGGUCAUGUAGCGGUGAAAUGCAUAGAUAUGACCCGGAACACCGAUUGCGAAGGCAGGCUACUACGACUUGAUUGACACUGAGGCACGAGAGCAUGGGUAGCGAACAGG